AGAGCGACUGCUGUAAGGCGUUUGUGCAAAACUGCGGAAAAACUGCAGAAAAAGUGUGGGUGUUGAACCCUCUCACCGGGAAAAGCCACGGGUGCGACGCGCCUGCCCAGAACGAUUGCUCCAUCUACUGUGAUUUCUCACAAGAUCCUGACCACGGUGUGGAAUAUUAACAAGACUGCCUGAUAUCUCCCUGUGGGGCCUGACUGCUUCGCAUUAGAAAGCAUUUGGCAGCUCUCGAAAUGACAACAACUGACAGUCUGGAGACCUUAUGAUGCGUACCAG